CUGACCCAGCGACGCCGCGUGCGGGAGGACGCCCUUCGGGGUGUAAACCGCUGUCGGAGGGGAAGAAACCCGGGGGUGAGAAUACUGCCCCCGCUUGACGGUACCCUCAAAGGAAGCACCGGCUAACUCUGUGCCAGCAGCCGCGGUAAUACAGAGGGUGCAAGCGUUGUUCGGAAUCACUGGGCGUAAAGCGCGCGCAGGCGGGACGACAAGUCUGGAGUGAAAUCCCGGGGCUCAACUCCGGGGCUGCUUCGGAAACUGUCGACCUGGGGACCGGUAGAGGCCGGUGGAAUUCCCGGUGUAGCGGUGGAAUGCGUAGAGAUCGGGAAGAACACCCGUGGCGAAGGCGGCCGGCUGGGCCGGAUCCGACGCUGAGGCGCGAAAGCGUGGGGAGCAAACAGGAUUAGAUACCCUGGUAGUCCACGCCGUAAACGAU
rnacentral:rRNA from 1 species